AGUUAUCGGAAAAAUAAAAUAGUGAAUAGGCUAAUUUAGUUAAACUCAUACGGACUACUUCGUCGGGCAUCAACUUCGUAGAUAUUUUACCCACCCCGUUGUUGAUCAUAUCCAUCUGCAUGCACAGUAUCGUCCUUUCGCUUUCUUGUCUUUCUUUCCUGGUCGGCGCCGUGGAAGCCGAAUGGUUUGUUGGUCCAAUCAACCAUGGAGAAGCUCAUCAAGAUUGGCUUUCAGUAUCUGAAAGAUGAAGUCUUCUUUUGUAGCUUCUCUAGCGAGCUGAUUAGAAGAUUUGUAUUUUUUUUACUACUUUUCGAUAUAAUUUUGUGCUCCGACCAACUUUCCGUCACCUUGUUGAAUAUUUUGCUUCUGAUUUCGAUGGGGGCGAUGCUCUAAUUUCAGUGUUUUUUUUUUUUGCUCUGAGACCGAUCUUCAAGCUGCUUCAUCAUGGAGGUUUUUUGGGUUUUGGCCCUGUUGAAUGUAGUUGGGCUUUUUGUUUCUUUGCAUGUUCUUCUUUUGCCGCAGUCUGUUCAAUGAUUGUUUUUUUGGAAGAUGUCGCUCUCUGGAUGGAGACAUUAUUAGGAGCGGAGUGCGGACGUAGCUCCGGAUGGCACACAUGAAUUUCCUUAUCAUAGAAUGUUGGCCAUUAAAAGAGAGCAUAAAUUUAAGUUAAAGUGUGGCAGAGAUGAGGAUACUCAGGUGGAUGAGUGGCUUUACUCUUAGAGACAGAACACAAAACAAGCAUGGACUAGAAAGGUUAGAGUAGCUCCAAUGACAGGUAAGAGUAGAGAGAGUUGUUUUAGAUGGCUUUGUCAAAUAAAAUGGCCUUUUGGGUCA